UACGUAGGCAGCAAGCGUUGUUCGGAAUUACUGGGCGUAAAGAGUGUGUAGGCGGUGCUCUAAGUUCGGUGUGAAAUCUCCCGGCUCAACUGGGAGGGUGCGCCGAAAACUGGAGUGCUGGAGCGCGGGAGAGGAAAGCGGAAUUCCUGGUGUAGCGGUGAAAUGCGUAGAUAUCAGGAGGAACACCGGCGGUGUAGACGGCUUUCUGGACCGUAGCUGACGCUGAGACACGAAAGCGUGGGUAG
rnacentral:rRNA from 1 species